rnacentral:lncRNA from 1 species
GUGUAUACAAGGGCUACUCUGAAAAUAGAAUCAUUUCUUGAAACAGGAGCCUGUAGACACAAGAUAGAAGAGGUACAAAGAGAAUGACAAGAACGGCUCACGGAAAACAUGAGAGCUGUUAGCAGAUCCUGGAUGGGAAGCCCAAGGUAAGUACAGAUGACAUUU